GGAAGGACAGAGAGGAGUAGGGUAGAAGGGAGUUGGGGGUGGGGGACUGGGCUAAGGACAAGGACAGGUUUUGAUUCUGAAGUGAAAGAACCAGGUCCUAAAGACCCUUGACCCUUCCUCCUCCUACCUGAAAGGUACUCUUUUGCUUGAAUUUCAGGAACGUUCAGCCUCGUUCUCACCUGUUUUGAAAGAUUCCAAGCACUCAGGAAGGCGGAGCUUGGCCCGGGAUUUGCAGCACGCUGGAGUUUUCAGUGUGUUUCCUUCCACCUUCCCCCUAUUCAGAACCGCCCCUAUCCCCCAGGUAUGGAACUGGAGGCAGGUAAGAGUACUAUAGGGUCAAAGGUAUUCCCUGCCAGUCCCCCUCCCUGCAUCCACACUGUUUUCACUGUUUCAGGACACACUUAAUGCAGUUGGAGAGGGGAAGCCAUUGGGCAGAGGGAUAUCCCAGAGUCCUAAGGGAAAUGAGGCCAAGUUUAAAAGAAUCAGAUGUCAAGCAAAUAACAUUUCAACAUUUUACCCAGAAACCUUUGGGUGCUAAUAAGAUUUUUGCACCCAAAUAGCAAAUCUAACCCUCUACUUCAGUAAUUUUUCUCUCAGUCUCCUUAUCUCCAUUACUAGGACCUAGGAGAGCCUCUGUGGCUAAGCUUACUUCAGAUGACCUCUUAGGUCAGAUCGGUGGCCCAGCAACUCAGAUGCAAGUAAAAUCUCAUUUCCCUUUCCAGGGAGUUCUCUCCAUCAAGCCCAU
rnacentral:lncRNA from 1 species